AGGAGAUAUAGAGGAGGAUAUGUAGAGGAGGAGAUGUAGAGGAGGAGAUUAAGAGGUAGAGGAGGAGAUAUAGAGGAGGAGAGGUAGAGGAGGAGAUAUGGAGGUAGAGGAGGAGAUAUAGAGGAGGAGAUAUGGAGGAGGAGAUAUAGAGGAGGAGAGGUAGAGGAGGAGAUGUAGAGGUAGAGGAGGCGAUGUAGAGGAGGAGAUGUAGAGGAGGAGAUGUAGUGGAGGAGAUGUAGAGGAAGAGAUAUAGAGGAGGAGAUAUAGAGGAGGAGAGGUAGAGGAGGAGAUAUAGAGGAGGAGAUAUAGAGGAGGAGAUAUAGAGGUAGAAGAGGAGAUGUAGAGGUAGAGGAGGAGAUGUAGAGGAGGAGAUAUAGAGGAGGAGAUAUAGAGGAGGAGCUGUAGAGGAGGAGAUGUAGAGGAGGAGAUAUAGAGGAGGAGAUAUAGAGGAAGAGAUAUAAAGGUAGAGGAGGAGAAAUAGAGGAGGAGAUAUAGAGGAGG
rnacentral:lncRNA from 1 species